rnacentral:rRNA from 1 species
GACGAACGCUGGCGGCGUGCUUAACACAUGCAAGUCGAGCGGUAAGGCCCUUCGGGGUACGACGAGCGGCGAACGGGUGAGUAACACGUGGGUGACCUGCCUCUAGCUCUGGGAUAAGCCUGGGAAACUGGGUCUAAUACCGGAUAUGACUCCACGGCGCAUGUUGUGGGGUGGAAAGCCUUGUGUGGCUAGAGAUGGGCCCGCGGCCUAUCAGCUUGUUGGUGGGGUGAUGG